CACAAGAUUUGAUCAAGUGUUCCCAUAUUGAUUCCUGAUACUCACUAAUGUCAGCCACAGUUAUUCUUGUGCCCGGCAAAACAAGUCUCUUCUUCAUGCAUAAGUCACUGACAGUCAAGGCAGAGGAAUGCAAGAGACACGGAGUGAAUGAACGAAAUUAAAAGCACAUUAAAAGGUGUUUGUAUUAAUGAAACCAGAAAGAAAUAAUAUGGUGUGGAGGAAACUGGAAAAACCCGCAAGGGGACGAUUUAGUAAAUAAAAGUAACAAAGGGCAGCUUUGUAGAGCCAGUAAUUUCAUUCUCGAUACCCAAGGAGCGUAACACGCAACUAGCAUGGAAGCCAAGUCAGCUUAACAGAAAACCAGGGAGCAGUUUAAUCACAUCAAAGGUCGUAAAAGGUUUUUUUUUAAAAAGGUAGAGGACCCCUGGAUGGUUAAGUCCAGUCAAAGGUGACUCUGGGGUUGCGGCGCUCAUCUUCCUUUCAGGCCAAGGGAGCCGGCGUUUGUCUUUCCAGGUCAUGUGGCCAGCAUGACUAAACUGCUUCUGGCGCAAUGGGACACUGUGACGGAAACCAGAGCACACAGAAACGCCGUUCACUUUCCUGCCACAGCGGUACCUAUUUAUCUACUUCCACUGGUGUGAUUUCGAACUGCUAGGUUUGCAGGAACUGGGACAGAGCAAUGGGAGCCCACUCCGUCGUGGGGAUUUGAACCGCUGACCUUCCGAUCGGCAAGCCCAAGAGGCUCAGUGGUUUAGCCCACAGCGCCACCCGCGUCCCUAGCAAAGGUCGUGCCACAUACAGACUGACGUAGCAAUCAGACCUCUGGGAAUUGUAGUUCAGAGAGGGAGAUUGGGGACCCCCAAACGACAUUUUCAGCAAUCUCACCAAAUGACAACUUCCAGUGUAGCUCCGUUGGUUAGAGCGUGGUGCUGAUAGCAUCAAGGUUGCAGGUUUUAGCCCCAUAUGGGACAGUUGCAUAUCCCUACACUGCUACAUAUCCCUGCAUUGCAGGGGGUGGACUUGAUGAUCCUCAGGGUCCCUUCCAACGCUAUGAUUCUAUGAAAUCUCCCACCUCGCCAAGCCCAUUUUCCAGGUAGGACUAUCCAAAUAUACAAAGGCCAAAUCUAAACAAAGCUAAGGGAGAACACCAGGAAUUUUGGGAAGGAAAUUGAUGUCGCUAAACUGAUACAAGACAGCUACAGAUUUGUAGACUAGAUAUUCCUUCAUUCAGACAGACACAAAUCCACUGAGGUCAGGAUUGGCUACCCCAGGAAUUGGAUAGAUUACCACAAAUUAAUCUGCUGAGGGUAAUCCUAACCCUGUCUACUGAGAAGUCAAUUCUAUUGAAUUGAUGCUGCUCACUUUCAGGUAAGUGGGGUGAAUAUGGCAGUCUGAAAAACCUAUCUGGAUUCAGAAACUCUAGUACAGUGGUACCUUGGUUGUCGAACUUAAUCUGUUCCAGGAGACCAUUCAACUUCCGGAAUGGUUCAAAAACCAAGUCGCAGCUUCCGAUUGGCUGCAGGAGCUUCCUGCAGCCAAUCAGAAGCCACAGAAGCAGCAUCAGACAUUUGGCUUCCAAAAAACGUUCGCAAACCGGAACACUCACUUGUGGGUUUGUGGCGUUUGGAAGCCAAAAUGUCGGAGAGCCAAGGCAUUGAACAACCAAGGUCUGACUGUAUUUAACAUCUUGGCUCCACCAGAUUCCCAGUCCUGCCACUUUCCAAUCGACACAUUGGGGCUCGACAUCAGCAGCAGGCAGGCUGCUGCAUUCCUCCUUUUCUAAAAAUAUUGAUUAUCAACCAAAUGUUUGGAGAGCUAGUCCUUUGAUCAUGCUGGUACAAUUCAGACUGCUCAUAUUUAUAUCACUAAGAAUUUAGUAGCUCAUUGCUUCCUCGUGCCACCGUCUAAGACUCUGGAAGAGGUCUGGGUGGGGCUCAGGCCAGUUUGUCAAUGUGUCCCUGAAUUUGCUUUUUGAAAGGAACAUCUAGUUCAGCCGCCCCGGGGCACCAGGCUACCUUCCCAGAUGCGAGGCAUCAGAGACCCAAGACUGAUUACAAAGUACAAACUUAAUAGAGGAAACACAGAUAAAUUGCCCAAAGAGUCCAAAGUCUAAAGAUUCCUCGGCUUGACUGCAUGGGAGACCACAAAUCUCUGGGUGCAGCUUGGUGUAAAAGGAAUGAGAAACAGCUUCCCUUUCUGUAAGAAUGAGACAGAAGGUUUCAGGCCAAUUCAUAUACUACAAUCAAUUGCAGAAUUAAUGGGCACACUGUACUACACACUUUUCUAAAGGUAAGCCCCAUUGAUCACCUAAAAAUAUGCCUACACAGAUUUAGUGCAGUGCAUUUGGGGAAUUUAUUAACAUAUCUGCUUAAAGGUAAAAAGGUAAAGGUAAAGGACCCCUGGACGGUUAAGUCUGGUCAAAGGCGACUAUGGGGUUGCGGUGCUCAUCUCGCUUUCAGGCCAAGUGAGCCAGCGUUUGUCGACAGAUAACUUUCCGGGUCAUGUGGUCAGCAUGACUAAACCACUCCUGGCACAACAGAACACUGUGAGGGAAGACAGAGCACACGGAAACGCCAUUUACCUUCCUGCCACAAUGGUACCUAUUUAUCUACUUGCACUGGCGUGCUUUCGAAUUGCUAGGUUGGCAGAAGCUGGGGCAGAGCAAUGGGAGCUCACCCCGACAUGGGGAUUCGAACCGCCGACAUUCCGAUUGGCAAGCCCAAGGGGCUCGGUGGUUUAGACAACAGUGCCACCCGUGUCCCAUUGAUCACCUCAAAGUAUGUCCUACACAGACUUAGGGCAAUGCAUUAACAUAUCUUGUUAAAACAAUUAGUUAGGUAGGUAAUGUGGUUUUUGUUUCAGUGUUUACUGCCUCACUGAGCAAAGGUCAUGGCUGGAAAAGGGCUAUUAAAUGAUUACAUUAUUUCAUCUGGUCUGCAGUAGAUUCUGUGCCCCAACAGUAUUGUCUCAGGUCAGAUGAAAAGCGAGCCCCAGAACUGCUAACCAAAGGGAGCGAUCUUAUUUAUCACAUUUGCAUCCGUUCCAUCCUCCAAACUUAGGCUGGCAGAUACUGGAUUAUCUUCGCAAGAACCUCUGGGUCCAAAAGAGAUGCUGACCCACCCACAGCCAUACAAUAAGCUUCAUGGCUGAGCUUGGAUUUAAGGGAAAUCUGGAAAGUCCAGCUCUCCAUCACUCUUGCUUUCCUUUCAUUCAUUCAUUUGUCUUCCCGGGUUUAGAGUUCUCAUGAUCAGCUGGAGAAGCGCCAGAUCUGGACGAAUGGGCAACGAUACCUCUGGCACAAAACUUUUGAGAGCGGAAGCAGUCUUGAAAGUGGGAUUGUGUAUAACCACCCUGAUACCAUCAUGAGCACAAAUCACCAUGAUUGCAUGAUAAUAAGGAUAUAUGGACAGUUUUGUGGUUAAUUAAUGUGUGGUCCAAACACUUUUUAUUCCAACCUGGGUUGAGCUAUGCAAGUAACAAAGUGGUUAUCCAAGCAGGAAAUCAGAAAUCCUAACUCCAUUCUUCCCACUGCUACAUGACCUGGAAUUCUCCCCCCAAAAUAGCAUCCUGGAUUACAGUGGUACCUCGGAUUACAUACACUUCAGGUUACAAACUCCGCUAACCCAGAAAUAGUGCUUCAGGUUAAGAACUUUGCUUCAGGAUGAGAACAGAAAUCGGGCUCCGGCGGCGCGGCAGCAGCAGGAGGCCCCAUUAGCUAAAGUGGUGCUUCAGGUUAAGAACAGUUUCAGGUUAAGUACGGACCUCCGGAAUGAAUUAAGUACUUAACCCGAGGUACCACUGUAUUUCUCGGAAAUCGGGCAAAUGUCCCGGAAAACCGGCAACGGGGGUUAAAUCGUGACGAAAAUGCCAAAAACAGCUGCAGAACUCAAAAUUCUCGUAGCUUUUGCUCAACACUUUCGGGGUGUCCUGCUUUUUACUUGGCACCCCUACAAAACAAAACUCUCCUGAAAGACCACAGGAGGGCGUGAGGAGCAAUUUAUUUCUGAAAUCUUAAGGAGGCAGCUGAUGAUUUACUUUUAUGAAUCUUACAAGGUAGACAAAGGUUUCUCAUUUCUUCCCUGCUUUUCUAACUUAAUAAAAAUGCUGUGCUUCUCACAGGCCUCUCAGUUGCACUUCCUGGAACAUUUUGGGAGCAACGCCAUCAUCUCACGUGGCACUGAGUCGCUCUCAAGACGUUCAAAGCAAUGUGCCCACACAGAGUGGCACAGCUUCCUGCCAGCCAAACCUCCUGGUGGGACCCAGUAAGAUCAGUAACAGCCCCCUCCCAAAACUUUCAGAGAUCAGACUCUCCUGGCACUAAGGAAUCCUUGUUAAUUCUAUUGGGGAAACACGCACGUUUGAGCAGGACUUCCGCAAUCAAAAUUUCAGGGAUGGCUUCAUGCUAUAAAGCAGGGUUGUUUAAUGCGUGGCCCAAGGGCCACAUGCGGCCCUCGAGGCCUUUUUUUGGCAGCCCUUGACAACAUUGCACACACCCCAUAGCCCUUGUGUUGCCUUCCCAAAGCCUAUGAUCUGGGUGAGGAAACUUUAAAAGCAGCUUUUGAUAUAGCAUUGCGGGGAUCCAAGUGGGGGAAUGCUGGAUCCCAGCCAGUAUUAAGAGAGCGAGUGUUACUUGUAGUUCUGAAAAUAUGAAACCUAGAUUCUUUGUUGCACAACACAGAAUCUGUUGAGCUUUCAUGCGGCAGAGUGAAACGAAACUUCAAACUGUCCUACAGAUCGCCGAUAAGAUUUUCACCUAAUUUCUUUCACACACAAAAAACCCAACCACCUACAACUUUGAACCUUGGAGCUUUGUACUCAAACUGGAAUCUCUUAUUUUAAUAGCAUGCAAUUAAGUAAUUUGCCCACUAUAGAUAAAAUUGCUCUUAAGGAGAUGUAGCUUCGGGAGACAAAGUCGACGUAUGAAAAGCUGGAAACGCUCCCAGAGUAAGCUGGCGAUAAAAGUCUGACAAGGCUGUUUUUGUUAAUCUCUCAUGGCCACGAUCCAGCACUUAAACCCAUCAAACUUAAUGGGCUGGCUUGUGCUUAACCGUGUGAUGGACUGUGGCUUUUGUAUGUGAGAAAGAUUUCUAGUUUCUAACUCUCAAAAUGGAUUAGCAUUUAUUUUAGAUGAUAGAUAGAUAGAUAGAUAGAUAGAUAGAUGAUAAGUGAUAGAUAGAUAUGAGAUUCUAUUCCAUCAACGGUGUCUCCGAAAAAGUUUACACAUCACUUGGGAAGACAGGCCAACUAAUGCCAGUGUACUGAAAGAAGCAAAGAUCACCAGUGUAAAAGCGAUGAUUCUUCAACAUCCACUUCGUUGGACUAGUCAUGUUGUUCAGAUGCCUGAUUAUCGUCUUCCAAACCAACUACUCUAUUCUGAACUUAAAAAUGGACAGCGUAAUGCUGGUGGUCAACAAAAGAGUUUUAAAGACUCUCUCAAGGCAAAUCUUAAAAAUGUAGUAUAAACACCGACAACUCAAAAACACUGGCCUGUGAACACUCCAAUUGGAGAACAGCCUUUACCAAAGGUGUCAUGGACUUUGAAGACACUCAAACUCAGGAGGAAAGGGAGAAAUGUGCUAAGAGGAAGGCACGCUUGCCAAACCCUCACCAUGAUCAACUCCUGCCCAGAAACCUAUGUCCCUACUGUGGAAGGAUGUGUUGAUCCAGAAUUGGCCUCCACAGUCACUUACAGACUCACUGUUAAAACCGUGUUCAUGGAAGACAAUCUUACUUGGCUAUGAGUGAUCGCCAAAGAAGAUAUGAAACUGCCUUAAGUUAUACUGAGACUAGUCAGUAGUUCAUCUAGUUCAGUACAGUGGUAUCUCGGGUUACAUACACUUCAGGUUACAGACUCCGCUAACCCAGAAAUAGUACCUCGGGUUAAGAACAGGAUGAGAACAGAAAUUGCGCGGCGGCGGCGCAGCAGCAGCAGGAGGCCCCAUUAGCUAAAGUGAUGCUUCUGGUUAAGAACAUUUUCAGGUUAAGAACAGACCUUCAGAACGAAUUAAGUCUGUAACCAGAGGUACCACUGUAGUGCCUUCUCUGACUGGCAACAGCUUACCAGUCUCUUAGGCAGCUGUCUUCACCUGUUCUCCCCAUUAAAAUGCAUUUUACAUAAUAUAAUAAUUUGGGAACUUGAGAAUCAGUUUUGCGGUUCAACCCUAACUGUUAAGAGUGUCAGACUCGGACCAGAGAGGCCAGAUUUCAAAUUCUCACUCAGAUGCAAAGCUCAUUGGGAUAUUCUCAGCCUAAUCUCCCUCACAGGGAUGUUUUGAAGAUAAAAUGAAAGAGGGGGAACUAUGUACAUCACCACGAGUCCUUGCAUUAAUGUGGUAGUUAUAAUGGUAUGGGGUUGCUCGUGCGUAAGUUGCCGCCUCUCCUGGCUAUGUUGCCUGGUUAAACCUUUCUGUCUGGCCAGCCCUUCAAUUCGUGACUGCCUCAGUCGCUAGCAGAAUCCGUCAGUGGGCGUUUCUUAAACCUUUUCCAACAUAAAAGUUGUUUGACACCCAGUCUCCUCCUACUUUCUCUGCGCGGAAGUCUUCUGCGCAGGGAGGGCAUGGGUAGCGGAGGACCAGUGCUCUCCCCGCUGGUGUCCGGUGAAGAGUCCUGGAGCCCUCUCGCCGAUUCCCCCAUCUGCCCCUCCUUAUUCCUGGUGUUGCACUGAAUUGCUUCCCCAUCUGCUGAGCUGCCUCUCUCCCUGCUGGGCCCUUCUCCAGCAUCAUUAGAGAGCCUUCCCUCCACCUCUAGCUCCGAUGUCAGUUCCCUGACAGUAGUUCAUGUAGUAAAUAGACAAAUCCACAAUCUCUGAAAAACAACAUCUUAUGUAUUUUUUUACCCAAUGUAUUGUUAUGUAUUGUUACACCUUAUGUAUUGUUUUCCCUUUUCCCUUUUACUGUUCCAUUCUGAGCAUAAAAGUAUCUUCACUCUUCU